rnacentral:lncRNA from 10 species
AACAUUUCAUUUAUGGAGUGCCUGAGUCCUUCUUCUAAAUAAAAUAGUCUUCACCAGAAUGCUAAUGUCAUGCAAUGAUAAAUUACUUCGCAAAAUGAUAGAAGUUCCAGCCAUGCUGAGCUAUUGAGUGACUGAAUGGUAGCUCUUUUCCCUUUUAUUUCAGGGAUCAGCAGUGAGUCACAGAAGUGCAUCUAAAAAAACAGAAAUUAAAGUCUACUGGAAUGCUCCAAGCAGUGCUCCAAAUCACACACAGUUUCUGUGAGUAUAAGAGUUUAUAAUUCUGGGCCAGGCAUGGUGGCUCAUGCCUAUAAUCCCAGCACUUUGGGAUGCCAAGGUGGUGGAUCACUUGAGCCCAGGAUUUUGAGACUGGCCUGGGCAACAUGGUGAAACCCCAUCUCUAAAAAAAGGAAAAAAAAGUUUACAACUCUGUAACUACUAGUAUAAUUGAAACCAUAAUUAGUCUGUAUCAUUUUCUGUACCUAUUGGACAUUCACACAUGUAGGAGAGCUUUGGUAUAGUAAUAACACAACCUUCCUGAUGUAGGUAGUCCUGUUAGGUAGUAAGUCAUGUUUUUCUA